rnacentral:lncRNA from 1 species
CAUUUGUCUCAGGGCUGGUGGGGGGAUGAUUUCUAGUCUCCUCUUGUCCCAUACCUGUGAAGAUCAGCUGUUGAUUUACAUUGUCACGGGUGAUGGUAAGAAGUGGUGAAUUAAAACCAGGAAGGACAUCUGUGACAAACCUCACAGAAGUGGAUGGAUUGCAAAUCAAUUAUUCUACAUGUAUCCUUUGCUCUGGAGUUCUGCUGCCAUAGCAACCAGUAUGGAGCAAUAGAAAGGAAAGAAACACCCAAAUAUCCUGCCAACCAAGUCCACCAAGCCAACUCUGGAAACCAGCACAAUGUGUUAACAAAGCUAUUCCUGCCAACAUCCACACUUCCAACAACAGCCACAACCACAUCCUAAAACCGAUUCCUCAAGGAUCUAGAAAUAGAAAUUCCAUUUGACCCAGCAAUUUCAUUACUGGAUAUAUACCCAAAGAACUGUAAAUCGUUCUACUAUAAAGACACAUACACAUGUAUGUUCAUGGCAGCCCUGUGUACAAUAGCAAAGACUGGAACCAACCCAAAUGCCCACAAUGAUAGACUGGACAAAGAAAAUGUGGCACAUAUACACCAUGGAAUACUACGCAGCCAUAAAAAACAAUGAGUUUGUGUCCUUUGUAGAGAUUUGGAUGAAUCUGGAAACCAUCAUUCUCAGCAAACUGACAGAAGAACAGAAAGCCAAACACCGCAUGUUCUCACUCAUAGGUGGGUGUUGAACAAUGAGAACACAUGGAUUCAAGAAGAGGAGCAUCACACACAGGGGGCAG